CCUACGUGAGGCAGCAGUAGGGAAUCUUCCACAAUGGGCGAAAACCUGAUGGAGCAACGCCGCGUGGGUGAAGAAGGUCUUCGGAUCGUAAAACCCUGUUGUUAGAGAAGAAAGUGCGUGAGAGUAACUGUUCACGUUUCGACGGUAUCUAACCAGAAAGCCACGGCUAACUACGUGCCAGCAGCCGCGGUAAUACGUAGGUGGCAAGCGUUAUCCGGAUUUAUUGGGCGUAAAGGGAACGCAGGCGGUCUUUUAAGUCUGAUGUGAAAGCCUUCGGCUUAACCGGAGUAGUGCAUUGGAAACUGGGAGACUUGAGUGCAGAAGAGGAGAGUGGAACUCCAUGUGUAGCGGUGAAAUGCGUAGAUAUAUGGAAGAACAUCAGUGGCGAAAGCGGCUCUCUGGUCUGUAACUGACGCUGAGGUUCGAAAGCGUGGGUAGCAAACAGGAUUAGAUACCCUAGUAGUC
rnacentral:rRNA from 1 species